rnacentral:tRNA from 4 species
GGAGAGGUGGCAGAGUGGUCGAAUGUACUUGACUCGAAAUCAAGCGAUGGGGCAACCUAUCCGUGGGUUCGAAUCCCACCCUCUCCGCCA